UGAUAUGCCAGUGUGUUUAGGAAAAAUACACUCAGACACCAUUAUUAUUUGACGUAGAAUGACAGAAGAAGAAACUGCCAGUUAGGGAAGAUGUUUUGAAAGAAUUAUUCAAAAACUCAUAAUUAUUCAAAUUGAAAUAUUUAAUAAUCCUUUGGAAAAGUAUGGAAAAGCUUUGUCAUGUUUUCCUUUUCUCUUGUAUUCUUCCCUGUAUUUGAAACACAUCGCAAAUACCAGCCUAAGACACAGUUGCUGCUUUUACAUAACUGAAAUCAGUUUUUUCCCAAACAUCACAACAAAAGUUCUUAAGAUUUUAAUAAUAACAUUUAGUAGAUAAAAAAGCUAAUAAAAAUUGAAUUGCUUGAGCAACACUAAAACAUUUCAGACCAUUGAGUUUUUUGAGUAUCAGGUAGCAAAUCAACAUAAAGAUUCCCUUAAAAGAACAUUGUGAUGCUUUUUACCUGGGUUUAGUUUUUUGGGUUUGGUGGAGUGGUCCUUAAAUGUAUAGUGGUCCAUAGGACUCAUGACAGAAAUUCCCUGUGCUCAUGAAACCCCAGUCAAUGUAUAUAUGAAUAGAACUUUGGUG
rnacentral:lncRNA from 1 species